rnacentral:tRNA from 2 species
GAAUUUUUUCUUUUAUUAUAA